GUGAGUCAUCGAAUCUUUGAACGCACAUUGCGCCCUCUGGUAUUCCGGGGGGCAUGCCUGUUCGAGCGUCAUUACAACCCUCAAGCUCUGCUUGGUAUUGGGCCUCGCCGGUUCCGGCGGGCCUCAAAGUCAGUGGCGGUGCCAUCCGGCUUCAAGCGUAGUAACACUCUCGCUUCUGGAGACCCGGGUGCGUGCUUGCCAGCAACCCCAACUUUCUAAGGUUGACCUCGGAUCAGGUAGGGAUACCCGCUGAACUUAAGCAUAUCAAUAAGCGGAGGA
rnacentral:misc_RNA from 1 species